rnacentral:rRNA from 1 species
UACGUAGGGUGCGAGCGUUAAUCGGAAUUACUGGGCGUAAAGCGUGCGCAGGCGGUUUUGUAAGACAGAGGUGAAAUCCCCGGGCUCAACCUGGGAACUGCCUUUGUGACUGCAAGGCUUGAGUGCGGCAGAGGGGAUGGAAUUCCGCGUGUAGCAGUGAAAUGCGUAGAUAUGCGGAGGAACACCGAUGGCGAAGGCAAUCCCCUGGGCCUGCACUGACGCUCAUGCACGAAAGCGUGGGGAGCAAACAGG